AAAACAAGAGUACUUUUUUUUUAGAUGUGUUCAAAAUACCUUUGAGCAUCACAAUUGUAUACUUGAAGGUAAGAUCAGUUUAUUUUUUAUCUAUAUCAAAAAUUGGAUGAAGUACUGUUUUUAAAAUAAUUUACUCACACAGGAGAUUCAGGUAAAGGACCUCCUUCAUCUUCAAGCGAUUUAACUGGUGGUUUCACAAGAACGCUCUGCACUAAAAUACAUGGAUAUAUUAAUGCUUCUUGAAAAUCUCUGCACAAUCUAUUAAUAUCAAAGUUUCUAACUUUUGAUUUUGGAUGGUAUAGUUUACUGUGCAUUAAAAGGAAUGUAAGAAAAAACUCCUUUAUUUGAAACAAAAUCAAGUUCUUGGUAGUAUUUUGGCCUUACUUGAGAGUUCAGAUAACGAAAAGCUUUAAUAAGAUCUCAGUUUUUCACAUUCCAUCUACUCAAAAGUCACUAGCAUGGCCACUUAAAAAAAUGCAUUUCAUGGUGGCUACCAGGGGCUGGGAGGAUGUUGGUCACAGGCUACAAAAUUUCAGUUAGAUAGGAGGGAACAAGUUCAAGAGAUUACGCGACAUGGAGGCCGAGCGCGGUGGCUCAUGCCUGUAAUUCCAGCACUUUGAGAAGCCAAGGAGGGCAGAUCACCUGAGGUCAGGAGUUUGAGACCAGGCUAGCCAACAUGGUGAAACCCCAUCUCUACUAAAAAUACAAAAAUUAGCUGGGCAUGGUGGCAGGCGCCUGUAGUCCCAGCUACUUGGGAGGCUGAGGCAAGAGAAUCGCUUGAACCUGGGAGGUGGAGGUUGCAGUGAGCUGAGAUUGCACCACUGCACUCUAUUCUGGGCGACAGAGUGAGACUCCAUCAUAAAAAAAAAAAAAAAAAAAAAAAAAAAAAGAAAGCAAUUAUACAACAUAGUGACUAGUUAGUAACAAUUUAUUGUACCCUUGAAAAUUGUCAAGAGUAGAUUUUAUGUUCCCACCACACACAAAAAAUGAUAAAUAUGUGAAAAAAAUGCAUCAGUUAAUUAGCUCAAUUUAGCUAUUCCACACAUAUUUCAAAACGUAUUGUACAUGAUAAUUAUAUACAAUUUUUAUUUGUCAAUUUUUAAAAAGGAAAAAAGUUUAUUCUAAAAAAUAGCAAAGAUUAUACCCCUAAUAAAUCUCCCAAAACAUAUUAGUAUUUUCUAGCAAACCUAUAAAUAGUAUAGCUAAAAUCAUAAAGACAAAGUAAAAAAUCAAAGAGAAGUUAGCUAAUAAAAAAAAUACAAAAAGUACCCUUAAAUUGUAAGGAUUUUGACUUAAGUAUAGACUCAAAAUAAAAACUUUAAAUAAAAAUCGUAUCUAAGAAAUACAUAUAGUUAAGGCUGGGCUGAGUGGCUCAGCGUGUAAUCCCAGCACUUUGGGAGGCUGAGGUGGGUGGAUGGCUUGAGCCCAGGAGUUUUAGACCAGCUUGGUCAACAUGGUGAAACUACAUCUCUACCAAAAAAUAAAAAAAUUAGCUGGGCAUAGUGGUGUGUGCCUGAAGUUCCAGGUACUCGGGAGGCUGAGGUAGGGGAAUCGCUUCAACUCAGCAGGCGGAGGCUGCAGUGAGCCGAAAUAGCACCACUGCACUCCAGCCUGGGCGACAGAGAUCAUGUCUCGAAGAAAAAAAAUAAAAAGAAAAGAAGAAAAAAACCAGAUAUAGUUUAAAUACAUAGUGUUCAUUACUCAUUUUGCUUAUUUCUAUUUUUGAUUCAGUGGGGACGGGGGGAGGCCAAGGUGAAAGAAGCCUGGUGUGUGUUAGAUGCUACUUACCCAAAUAUCUCUUCAUGCUGUUUUCAAAGUCACUUGACACCUCAUUUAUGAGACUUUCAAGAAGUUCUUCUCUUUCUUUCCCUUCCUUUAAAGACUCAGGUAUCAGCCUUAACAUGUGAUCCAGCCAUUCCUGCUGAAUAGGUACUAAAGGACUACUUUCUACACAUUGCUUCAUAUAAAUAUAGUUGAACUGAGAACAUAAGAAAAAAUUAAAUGUUCUGCAUGGUUGUAUCAUUUCAGUGUAACUCCUGAACUCUCCCUUCCUAAGACAACAUUUUUUCAGAUUAAAAAUAUUCUGAAAAAUAACAUUUUCAGAAUAAAAACCAUUUAAUCCAAAAGUACAUCCCACAAAGAAACCAUUUUAUCUUUUUCUUUAUUUAUGAUGAAUUCUUGCCAAAUUAAUAUUCUUAGUAUGGUUUUCAUUUUCUCAAGGCAAAAUGAAGAUUCUUUACCUAACUUAUUAUUCCUUAUUAUCUAACUUAUUAUUAUAAUAUAUCCACCGAUUCAACAAAUAUUCAGACAUUGUUCUAAAUGCUGGGUAUAUAGUAGCUGAACAAAACAGACAAAGCCCAUGCUCUCUUGAGAUUAUAUUCCAGUACAAUAGUAGUAUAAUAUAAUUUCAUAAAUUCUCCCAUAAGAAUGAAUAGUCUCACUAAAAAUAGACACGAAUGAAUGAAAAGACACUUGAUCUUAGUAAAGACAUUUUAACAUCAUGAAAAUUUCACUUUUCCCAAAAUUGAUUUAACACAAUACCAAUAAAAUUAUCUACAUACAUUUUUAUGGAAUUAGAUAAGUUGAUCCUAAAGUUCAUGUGGAAAAAUAAACAUGCAAGAAUAGCCAAGAAAACCCUGAGAAAGAAAAUCUGCAAUGGAGGGCUAGCCCUAGGAGACAUUAGAACAUACCAGAAAGCCUGGUGUAGCACAGGUGUAUGGAUAGACAGACCAGUAGAAAACAACAGAAAGUCCAAAAAUACACCAGUAUAUCAGAAAAUUUAGCAUAUGAUAAACAUGGCAUCUCAAAUCACUGGGAAAAAUAUGAAGGUUUUAAUAACUAUUUCUGGAACAACUGGUUAGCCAUUUGGAAAAAGAUAAAAUAAUUCAUACCUUCCACCAUACAUAAGAACAAACUCCAGGAUUUAACUUAAACAAUGAAACUAUACAAGGAUCAGGAAGAAAAACAUAGAUGAAGUCUUUUAUAACUUGAGUAUAGGAAAAACCUUCCUAGCUAUGAUUCAAAUACUAGAUACAAAAAAGGAAACAAGUAAUAGAUUAAUUUUUACUACAUAAAAACAUAAAUGUUUGCAUAACAAAAACAAUUUAAAAUGUCAAAAGACAAUUGACAAUCUGGCAGAAAAUAUUUGCAACAUACAUCUCAGACAAAGUGUAAAGAAUGCUUUAAAAUUUAGGGGAUGGGUGAACCUUAAGGACAUUAUGCUAAGUGAAAUAAGCCAAUCACAAGAAAACAAGUAUUGCAUUAUUCCACUUAUAUAAAGUAAAUAGAGCAGUUAAAUUUAUAGAAACAGAAAACAAAAUAGUAGUUGCCAGGGGCUACAGGGAAGAGGAAAUGAGGAGUUGUUAUUUAAUAAGUAUAGAGUUUCAGUUUUGAAGAUGAAAAUGUUCUGGAGAUUCGCUGCACAAGAAUGUGAAAAUACUACUAAACAGUGCUUGCUUUGGCAGCACAUAUACUAAAAUUGGAAUGAUACAGAGAAGAUCAGCAUGGCCCCUGUGCAAGGAUGGACACAAAUUCGUGAAGCAUUCCAUAUUUUUGAAACAGUAGAUGCUGGCGAGGCUGUGGAGAAAUAGGAACACUUUUACGCUGUUGGUGGGAAUGUAAAUUAGUUCAACCAUUGUGGAAGACAGUAUGGCGAUUCUUCAAGUAUCUAGAACCAGAAAUACCUUUUGACCCAGCAAUCCCAUUACUGGGAAUACACCCAAAGAAAUAUAAAUUAUUCUACUAUAAAGACACAUGCACACAUAUGUUUACUGCAGCACUACUUAUAAUAGCAAAGUCAUGGAACCAACCCAAAUGCCCAUCAAUGAUAGACUGGAUAAAUAAAAUGUGGUACAUGGCCAGGCAUGGUGGCUCACACCUGUAAUCCCAACACUUUGGGAGGCCGAGGCGGGUGGAUCAUGAAGUCAGGAGUUCAAGACCAGCCUGGUCAAGAUGGUGAAACCCCGUCUCUACUAAAAAUACAAAAAAAUUAGCCAGGCGUGGUGGCAGGCACCUGUAAUUCCAGCUACUUGGGAGGCUGAGGCAGAGAAUUGCUUGAAUCCAGGAAGCGGAGAUUGCAGUGAGCCGAGAUCGCACCACUGCACUCCAGCCUGGCAACAGAGUGAGACUUCAUCUCAAAAAAAAAAAAAAAUGUGGUACAUAUACACCAUGGAAUACUACACAGGCAUAAAAAGGAAUGAGAUCAUGUCCUUUGCAGGGACAUAGAUGAAGCUGGAAGCCAUCAUCCUCAGCAAACUAACAUAGAAAUGGAAAACCAAACACCGCAUGUUCUCACUCAUAAGUGGGAGGUGAACAAUGAGAACACAUGGACACAGGGAAGGGAGUAACACAAAACAAAGCCCACUGGGGGAUGGAGGGCAAGGAGAGGGAUCCUAGAGAGUGGGUCAAUAGGUGCAGCAAACCACCAUGGCACACGUAUACCUAUGUAACAAACCUGCACGUUCUGCACAUGUAUCCCGGAACAUAAAGUAAAAUUUAAAAACUUAUAAUAAAAAAAAUACUACUAAACUGUACCCUUAAAAAUGGUUAAGAUGGUUUUAUGUUAUGUGUAUUUUAUCACAAUUUAUAAACAUUUAGGGGGAAAUAACAUCAAAACUACAACAGAAAAAUGGGCAGAAGAUAUAAACUAACAUUUCACAAUAAAAAUAUAAUUAAAAUGGCACUUAAACCAUAUUUUAAACGUAUAAUCUUAUUCAUAAUUACAGAAAGCAAAUUUAAACUACCCUGAGAUACCAUCUGUCACAUAUCAGAUUGACAAAAAUUUUUUUUUAAAUAUGACCCCCACAUUCUUUUGUGAAACUAUGGGGAAGCAAACACUCUCAUAAAUUGCUAGCACAUUUUGGAAAGAAAUUUUGCAAUAUCUAAUAAGACUACAUAUUGAAGUCCCACUUAGAGAAAUUAAAACAAUACCUCCAGCAGUAUGAAAGCAUACAUAUACAAGGUAUUCAUUGCAGCAAAAUACUGGAAACAUUUAAGAGUGGCUGAUGCAUACAUUCGUGUUCUGUGCAGCAAUAGUGAAAAAUGAGAAAGAUCUCUAAAAACUGAUAUGGAGCGAUUUCUAGGAUACAUUAUUAAGUUAAAAACAAAAUGCGGCCGGGUGCAGUGGCUCACGCCUGUAAUCCCAGCACUUUGGGAGGCUGAGGCGGGCGGAUCACCUGAGAUCAGGAGUUUGAAACCAGCCUGGCCAACAUGGUGAAACCCCGUCUCUACUAAAAAUACAAAAAUUAGCUGGACAUGGUGGGGGGAACCUGUAAUUCCAGCUACUUGGGAGGCUGAGGCAGGAGAAUCGCUUGAACCCGGGAGGCAGAGGUUGCAGUGAGCCGAGAUUGUGCCACUGUACUCCAGCCUCGGUGACAGAGUAAGACUCUGUCUCAAAAAAAAAAAAAAGAAAAAUAAAUAAACAAAAAAAAGCAAAAUGCAAGAGUAUCUACAGUAUGACGCAUUUUGUGUAAGAAAACAUACCUGUUCAUUUUUUAAAAAAAUUAAACACAGGAAGGAUAAAUCAAAAAUUAAUGAGAUUGGUUAUAUGAAAGAGUAGCUUGGAACAGACAGAAAGUAUGGGGGCAUGGGAACAGGGUGGAAGGGAUGGGAGAUGCUUCUCUGAGGUGUACUUUUGGUAUAGUUCUGAUUUUAAACCUUGCUGUUGUUUUACCUGCUCAAAGUAUAAGUAAAAAAUAUCAUCAUGAAUGAGGGAGAAAAGAAACUCCAAAUGAAAACAAACAAACCAAUGAACCUACCUGAAUUUCAAGUUAUUAAUAAUUACCUAGCUGAAAAUGUAUUAAUAAUUACCUAUUGAAAAGGAGUGUAGAACUAACCAAUACUGAACACAAUAUUUUAACCAUAUAUCCUUAUGCUAAGUACAAAAGACUAUAGGUGAAUAUUAAACUAUGGUGAGGUUUGUUUUUCACAGUAGUAUGAGUUAGCAAUUUUGAAAUUAUUUAUGUAUACUCUAGGAUUUAACAAAAUAAGUAAACCUUGUGGCUAAUGGAUGAAAGCCAGAUUCCUCACUAAUAGAGAAGGAAGCUAUGCAUAGAGAAAGGGGGACAGGCUAGAAUAAACCCUGGGAUGUUACUGGAAUAGGAGGUAUCAGUAUGAAUCCAUGGGUUUUGAGAGAGAGAGAGAGAAAUAAUUAUUUUCUAGAUCUUCUGCUGAGAAAGCCAGGAAGCAAUGACACUCAGUAUCAAGGAGCACAUUUAACACACAUAUCAUGGUUUUUAAAUACCAUUCUCCACUAAAAGGAGCCAAAAAUCCCUGGAGAAAUGACUGAUUACAGGGCUAGAAUAGAAAAAGUAUAUAUAGCAUGAUCCUGGAACAUCUUAUUGUGCCAGAAAGUAAGGAUGUGCUCAAAGAAUGAUGGGAUAUGUAAAAAAAAGACGAAAGAGUCAACUUUAAGGGCUCCCACUGGCCAAAUGUGGAACAACUGAACUUCAAAUUAAUAAUAAAGCCAGGCCUUGUGGCGCAUGCCUGUAAUCCCAGCUACUCAGGAGGCUGGGGUGGGAGGAUGGCUUGAGCCCAGGAGUUCAAGGCUUCAGUGAGCCAUGAUCACAACACUGCUCUCCAGCCUGGGCGACAGAGCAAAACCCCAUCUCUACAAAAUAAUUAUUAUUAAUAAUAAUAAUACAUUAUAACUUAAUAGUUAAAGUAAAAAUCUAUAGUCCACACUGAUCUAAAUGAAUGAAUAAGCGAAGAAAAAUAUUAAAAGUUCUUUCUUACUACAGAAUUCCAACAAAAAAUGUAAAAGAAAUGAUAGAAAAAUUACUAUUUGGCAACAACCAUAGUAAUCAUUGUUACAGGCAAAGAUGUUAACAUUAUGGGAACACAUAAAGCAUACAGGGGAAUUCUUUGUACUCUUUUUUGCAACUUUUCCGUAUGUCUAAAAUUAUUUUGAGAUAAAAAGAUUUUUUAAAUGUGUAGCCUAGAUGGACAUUUUUUCUUUUGUCUCUUACUUUUAUUUUUUUUCAAUUAGUUGCUCACUCCAAAAUUCUUACAGAAAGACAUUUUCUAUGUCCACUCCAUUAAUGUACUGCUUAGUCUUUUUUUUUUUUUUUUUUUUUUUUUCUUCAGAUGGAGUCUCCCUCCGUCGCCCAGGCUGGAGUGCAAUGGCAUGAUCUUGACUCACUGAAACCUCCACCUCUUGGGUUCAAGUGAUGUUCCUGCCUCAGCCUCCUGAGUAGCUGGGAUUACAGGCGUGGGCCACCAUGCCCGGCUAAUUUUUUUCUUUUUAGUAGAGAUGGGGUUUCACCAUGUUGGUCAGGCUGGUCUCGAACUCCUGACCUUGUGAUCCAUCCGACUCGGCCUCCCAAAGUGCUGGGAUUACAGGCAUGAGCCACCAUGCCCGGCCCAUGUACUGCCUAAUCUUAAAAUUCUUGUGUGAUAGUCCCCAGUCCCUCACUAUAUCAAUGGGCUGACCUCUGUCUAGCAAUGAAAUUGGUCCUCUCCCUACUCCAGCUCUUCCCUCCUCUCUAGAUGAUCUUAAUAAUAAGUGUCGCCAAUUACCCUGCAAAAUCAGACCAAAGCCUAAGAAUCAUCCUUGGUUCCUCUUUUUCUCACUGCCCACAUGCACCCUACCUGCAAGUCCUGUCGCAUUUACAUCCAAAAUAUGUCCUGAAUCUAACAAUUUCUCUCUAGCUCUAUUGCUAUCACUCUAGUCUAAACUAUUCUCUCUCACCUAGACUGUUAUCUUGUACAACUACCUGGUUCUUCCUUUAUACUUUUGCCGUAGCCACAAUCCAUCUUCUAAAGAAUCUAAGUGGCCUUUUUCAUAUAAUUGUCAAAGUGACUUUUUAUCAUUAAAAGUAAAUCAAGUUAUGUUAUCCCCAUGGGUAGAAUCCUCCAAUGACUUCCAAUUGCCACUCUGAGUAAAAUCCAAGCAACUUAUCAUAGCCUACAAGGCCCUCAUCUCUGGCUCCUGACCCCCUUUUCAAGUUUAUUUUAUACUUUCCCAUGAGCUCAAUCAGCAGCUGGCCUUCUUUCAGUUCCUGGAACAUACCCAGUUGUUUUCUCCUUCAGGUGACUUAAACUUAGCUGUUCCCUCUGUUGGGAAAUUCUCAACCCCAGGUCUUUCCACGGCUGGCUCCUUUCUACCAUUCAGGUCUCCAUAAAUGUCACCACCUCAGGGACGCCUUCUCUAACCACAUGCCUAAUAUGGCCCCACUCCCUCACCAGUCACUAUCUACCAUAUUACCCUGUAUUUCCUUCACAGUACUUAUCACAAUUUUAUUUAUUAAAUGAAAUAGAAAAAUUUUAUUUAAUUAUUAUAUGUCUUCCUCAUUAAAGUAUAAGCUUCAUAAGGGCUUAUAUGUCCAUCUUGUCCAUCAAUCUUCAGCAUCUAGCACAGGAUCAAGUAUGCAUAGAUAUUUGUUAAGAAUCUCAUGAAUAAAUAAAUUAUACAGACAAAGAUGAUAUUUUCUCAAUACCCCAAACCUAUAGCAGUUCUAGAAAGCAGGUCAGGGUCAAGCACUGAAAUAUUAGAUAGAAAACUAAGCUUGAAUAAAAUUAUUAUAUGACUAUAUAGUGAAAGGAAAUUUAUUGAAUGUGGUUUUUGUUGCAGAAAAAAAGAAAGAAAAAAUGAAAUUUAAAUUCAUUAUUCUAAUUAUGUAUCUAUAACUUAUACCUUUCUAAAACCAUUUCAUCUCCUAAAAUAAAAAUAUGUUUGACCCUUAGAAUUAAAGUAUAUAAUCUUCCUUAGCAAAACACUAUCUAAGUCAAGUGAUGUACUUUCAAAAUUUUUCUUGAAAACUCCCUGGCCCAGCACGGUGGCUCAUGCCUGUAAUCCCAGCACUUUGCGAGGUAGAAGCAGGUGGAUCCCUUUCAGCUCAGGAGUGAGAGACCAGUCUGGGCAACAUGGGGAAACCCCACCUCUACAAUAAAUAAAUAAAUAAAAAUUAUCCAAGCGUGGUGCCUCACAUCUGUAGUCCCAGCUCCUCGGGAGGCUGAGGCUAAGAGAUUGCUUGAGCCUGGAAAGCAGAUGUUGCAGUAAGCCAAGAUCACUCCCCUGCACACCAGCCUGGGUGACAGAGUGAGAAACUGUCUCAAAAAACAGAAAACAUAAAAAAAAAAACUUUCUAUAUUAUGCCCUCACUGUAGUCUCUUCACACUUCUAUUAUAACAGCUGUUACAUUUUACUGAACAUGUGUUUUUAUAUUUAUUCAUUCAUCAAUCAUUCAUUAAGUAACUAUUUUUAGUGCUCGAUAUCAUAGUAGUUGAUUAAGAAGCAAUUCCUGGCCGGGCACGGUGGCUCACACCUGUAACCCCAGCACUUUGGGAAGCUGAAGCAGGUGGAUCACUGGAGGUCAGGAGUUUGAGACCAGCUUGGCCAACAUGGUGAAACCCUGUCUCUACUAAAAAUAUAAAAAAUUAGCCAGGCAUGGUGGCAUGUGCCUGUAAUCCCAGCUAUUUGGGAGCCUGAGGCACAAGAAUUGCUUGAAGCCGGGAGGUGGAGGGUGCAGUGAGCUUAGGUUGCCCCACUGGAUUCCAGCCUGGGUGACAGAGCAAGACUACUCUGUCUCAAAAAAAAGAAAAGAAAAGAAAAGAAAGAAAGAAAAGCUGCUGUUGGCUGCUGUGGUCAAGAUAAGAGAUGAAGCUCUGAUCUAAGGCUAGGACAAGAAAAUGACUGUUUUGAGAACUAUAUAGAGCUCUUGGGAACUAAGCAUAUGGGAGGGAGGUAGUUGGGGAAGGGGAACAAGAAGUUCAGAUUCAGAUAUUUUAAGCAUGAGUAACCGGAUUGAUGGUGAUAACAACUAGAAUAGAAAAUGUGCAAGAGGAGUCUUAUGGAGGAAGCUUGUGGUCUCAUUUUUUUGACACGUUGAUUCUGAGGUAUUUGUGCAAAAAAGUCUCUGGGAGUCAUCAAUAUAUGAAAGGUAGCUGAAAUCAGAAAAGGAGAGAAUCAUCCAUGGAGAUUCAAGGAAAGAGAAGAGUGGCUACAGCCAGUCAAGAAAGAGGAACCUGUGGAGAUGACAGAGAAAUAAUAGAGAACCAGAUGAAUAAACAUAAAGGAAUGUUAGAAAGGAAAUAAAUGGUCAGUGGUGUCAAAAGUCAGCUGAAAUUGUCACUGAUUUUUAUUUCAGCCAUCCUAAUAGGUAUGUAGUGAAAACGAAUCAAGGUUUUAAUUUGUAUUACCAUAACGGCUAAUGAUGUUGAACAUCUUUCGCGUGCUUAUUUGCCAUCCGUGUAUCCUCUAUGGUAAAAUGUCUGUUCAUAUCUUUCUUUUUGGGAGGAGGGGGUUUAAACUGCACUUUAUUUGUUACCAUAACAUUCUUUUUUAACUGAUCAACCGUAAGCAUGCAAAAAGUUCUCCUCUGAAUGAAACUGAUUCCACAGCCUGUUGUAUAGAAAUGGGUAAAUUAUAAAGGUGAUUCAGUUUGGAGUUCUCUCCUUUUUUAUAGCACUCCUAAGCUAUGUGUGCGACACAUACCACAGAGGUAGAAAGGAUCAUCUUUAAUAAAUUAUCUUCUUAAUUGUAGAGAAUUUCUGAAAAUAAAACUGACAAAAUGCUAAACCAAGCCUUUGAUGUGUCCCAAAGGACCACAGAUCCAUCGACUCCUAUUUGAAGAAGUAAUCCCCUGGAGUGUUCUAGCCUUUGAAGGGCACUUGAUAACAAGAUCCACCAAGGCUCUGAACAACUGCACUAAGAAGCCUUCUAACCGCUCUCAUUUGCCGAUUCUUUGGACCACAACACAGUCCUCUUGUUUGUUUUCAGCUUGACA
rnacentral:lncRNA from 10 species